rnacentral:rRNA from 1 species
CAGUCGCCGCGGUAAUACGUAGGGUGCGAGCGUUAAUCGGAAUUACUGGGUGUAAAGCGUGCGCAGGCGGUUUGUUAAGACAGAUGUGAAAUCCCCGGGCUCAACCUGGGAACUGCAUUUGUGACUGGCAGGCUAGAGUAUGGCAGAGGGGGGUGGAAUUCCGCGUGUAGCAGUGAAAUGCGUAGAUAUGCGGAGGAACACCGAUGGCGAAGGCAGCCCCCUGGGCCAAUACUGACGCUCAUGCACGAAAGCGUGGGGAGCAAACAGGAUUAGAUACCCGAGUAGUCCCUGUCUCUUAUAC